rnacentral:ncRNA from 2 species
CAGCGUCUUCAGGGCGGGGCGAAAUUCCCCACCGGCGGUAGGCGUCCGAUGGACGCGAGCCCGCGAGCGCUCACGAUCGCCUCGUGAGGUCAGCAGAUCCGGUCGAAUGCCGGAGCCGACGGUUGGAAGCGGGCAGCCGUUUCCUCACAGUCCGGAUGAAAGAAGACGGUU